rnacentral:rRNA from 1 species
AGAGUUUGAUCCUGGCUCAGAACGUACGCUGGCGGCACGCCUAAUACAUGCAAGUCGAACGAAGUAGCAAUACUUAGUGGCAGACGGGUGAGUAACAUGUAGGUAUCUGCCCUUUGGCCUGGAAUAACACGAGGAAACUUGUGCUAAUACCGGAUAAGUCUUUACGGAGAAAGCUUAAUGCACCAUUGGAUGAGCCUGCACUUGAUUAGUUUGUUGGUGGGGUAAUGGCCUACCAAGACUGUGAUCAAUAGCUGAUUUGAGAGGAUGAUCAGCCACAUUGGGACUGAGACACGGCCCAAACUCCUACGGGAGGCAGCAGUGGGGAAUCUUGCACAAUGGAGGAAACUCUGAUGCAGCGAUGCCGCGUGAGUGAAGAAGGCCUUUGGGUUGUAAAGCUCUUUCGUCGGGGAAGAAAAUGACUGUACCCGAAUAAGAAGGUCCGGCUAACUUCGUGCCAGCAGCCGCGGUAAUACGAAGGGACCUAGCGUAGUUCGGAAUUACUGGGCUUAAAGAGUUCGUAGGUGGUUGAAAAAGUUGGUGGUGAAAUCCCAGAGCUUAACUCUGGAACUGCCAUCAAAACUUUUCAGCUAGAGUAUGAUAGAGGAAAGCAGAAUUUCUAGUGUAGAGGUGAAAUUCGUAGAUAUUAGAAAGAAUACCAAUUGCGAAGGCAGCUUUCUGGAUCAUUACUGACACUGAGGAACGAAAGCAUGGGUAGCGAAGAGGAUUAGAUACCCUCGUAGUCCAUGCCGUAAACGAUGUGUGUUAGACGUUGGAAAUUUAUUUUCAGUGUCGCAGCGAAAGCGAUAAACACACCGCCUGGGGAGUACGACCGCAAGGUUAAAACUCAAAUGAAUUGACGGGGACCCGCACAAGUAGUGGAGCAUGUGGUUUAAUUCGAAGAUACGCGCAGAACCUUACCAACACUUGACAUGUUCGUCGCGACUCUAAGAGAUUAGAGUUUUCGGUUCGGCCGGACGAAACACAGGUGCUGCAUGGCUGUCGUCAGCUCGUGUCGUGAGAUGUUGGGUUAAGUCCCGCAACGAGCGCAACCCUCACUUUUAGUUGCCAUCAUUUAGUUGGGCACUCUGAAAGAACUGCCAGUGAUAAGCUGGAGGAAGGUGGGGAUGACGUCAAGUCCUCAUGGCCCUUACGUGUUGGGCUACACACGUGCUACAAUGGUAUCUACAACAGGAAGCAAAACUGCGAAGUUAAGCAAAUCCUUAAAAGAUACCUCAGUUCGGAUUGCACUCUGCAACUCGAGUGCAUGAAGCUGGAAUUACUAGUAAUCGUGGAUCAGCGUGCCACGGUGAAUGCGUUCCCGGGUCUUGUACACACCGCCCGUCACACCAUGGGAGUUGGUUCUACCUUAAGGCAAGGUUUCAAACCCUUGACCACGGUAUAGUCAGCGACUGGGGUGAAGUCGUAACAAGGUAACC